rfam:Picea glauca, whole genome shotgun sequence.
ACAUGCCUACAUCAUAGAGUUAAUGCAUUGGAUCCCAUUAGAACUCCACAGUUAAGCAUGCUCAAGCUGGAGUAGUAUUGGGAUGGGUGACCGCUCAAGAAGUCCUAGUGUUUUACAUGCC